rnacentral:misc_RNA from 1 species
UCCGGUUUAGCACCGGCAGUCUUUCCAGAAACCGUCCUACCAUGUCAAACGCUGGUAAGGUUCUGCGCGUUGCUUCGAAUUAAACCACAUGCUCCACCGCUUGUGCAGGCCCCCGUCAAUUUCUUUGAGUUUUAACCUUGCGGCCGUACUCCCCAGGCGGAUGACUUAACGCGUUAGCUGCGCCACCGAAACGCUAAGCGCCCCGACAGCUAGUCAUCAUCGUUUACGGCGUGGACUAC